UUCCGGUUGAUCCCGCCGGAGGGGACCCCUAUCGGGCUCGGACUAAGCCAUGCGAGUCGGCUGGGGGCCCUUGCCCCUGGCGGCGCACGGCUCAGUAAUACACGGUCAACCUGCCCUGGGGACCGGGAUAACCUCGGGAAACUGAGGCUAAUCCCGGAUAGGGGUGGAUUCCUGGAAUGGGUCCACCCCUAAAGUAGGCGGGGGAAUGGCCCCGCUGAGGCCCCAGGAUGGGACCGUGGCCCAUCAGGUAGUAGGUGGGGUAACGGCCCACCUAGCCUAAGACGGGUGCGGGUUCUGAGAGGAGGAGCCCGGAGAUGGGCACUGAGACAAGGGCCUAGGCCCUACGGGGCGCAGCAGGCGCGAAACUUCCCCAAUGCGCGCAAGCGUGAGGGAGUGAGCCCGAGUGCCGUCCGCUGAGGGCGGCUGUUCCCGGGUGUAAACAGCCCGGGGUGCGAAGGGGA
rnacentral:rRNA from 1 species